rnacentral:rRNA from 1 species
UACAGAGGUCUCAAGCGUUGUUCGGAUUCAUUGGGCGUAAAGGGUGCGUAGGCGGCGCGGUAAGUCGGGUGUGAAAUCUCGGAGCUUAACUCCGAAACUGCAUUCGAUACUGCCGUGCUUGAGGACUGGGGAGGAGACUGGAAUUUACGGUGUAGCGGUGAAAUGCGUAGAUAUCGUAAGGAAGACCAGUGGCGAAGGCGGGUCUCUGGACAGUUCCUGACGCUGAGGCACGAAGGUCAGGGGAGCAAACGGGAUUAGAGUACCCGA